rnacentral:rRNA from 1 species
UACGGGGGGGGUAAGCGUUGUUCGGAAUUACUGGGCGUAAAGGGCUCGUAGGCGGCCAACUAAGUCAGACGUGAAAUCCCCAGGCUUAACCUGGGAACUGCGUCUGAUACUGGAUGGCUUGAAUCCGGGAGAGGGAUGCAGAAUUCCAGGUGUAGCGGUGAAAUGCGUAGAUAUCUGGAGGAAUACCGGUGGCGAAGGCGGCAUCCUGGACCGGCAUUGAUGCUGAGGAGCGAAAGCCAGGGGAGCAAACGGG